rnacentral:siRNA from 1 species
UGUACCCUUUCAAGCGUUUCA